rnacentral:tRNA from 1 species
UAGGAUAUAGCAUAAAUAUAAUGUACUUCGCUUACACUGAAGUGAUAACUUAGAUUAAGUUUAUCUUAA